GUGAGGUAACGGCUCACCAAGGCGACGACGGGUAGCUGGUCUGAGAGGAUGGUCAGCCACAUUGGGACUGAGAUACGGCCCAGACUCCUACGGGAGGCAGCAGUGGGGAAUAUUGCGCAAUGGCCGCAAGGCUGACGCAGCGACGCCGCGUGUGGGAUGAAGGCUUUCGGGUCGUAAACCACUGUCGGGGGGGACGAAUACUCGGCCUCGAAUAGGGGACCGAGGGUGACGGUACCCCCAAAGGAAGCACCGGCUAACUCCGUGCCAGCAGCCGCGGUAAUACGGAGGGUGCAAGCGUUGUCCGGAAUCACUGGGCGUAAAGCGCGCGUAGGCGGCUUUUUAAGUCACUUGUGAAAUCCCGGGGCUCAACUCCGGGGCUGCAGGUGAGACUGGAUGGCUAGAGCUCGGUAGAGGCGAGUGGAAUUCCCGGUGUAGCGGUGGAAUGCGUAGAUAUCGGGAAGAACACCAGUGGCGAAGGCGGCUCGCUGGGCCGGUGCUGACGCUGAGGCGCGAAAGCGUGGGGAGCAAACAGGAUUAGAUACCCUGGUAGUCCACGCCGUAAACGAUGGGUACUAGGCGUCGGGGGGAGCGACCCCUUCGGUGCCGCAGCUAACGCACUAAGUA
rnacentral:rRNA from 1 species